rnacentral:rRNA from 1 species
UACGGAGGAUGCAAGCGUUAUCCGGAUUCAUUGGGUUUAAAGGGUGCGCAGGCGGGCUUGUAAGUCAGUGGUGAAAUACUGCCGCUCAACGGUAGAACUGCCAUUGAUACUGCAAGUCUUGAAUAUGGUUGAGGUAGGCGGAAUGUGUCGUGUAGCGGUGAAAUGCAUAGAUAUGACACAGAACGCCAAUUGCGAAGGCAGCUUACUAAGCCAUUAUUGACGCUGAGGCACGAAAGCGUGGGGAGCGAACAGG